GAUGAACGCUGGCGGCGUGCCUAAUACAUGCAAGUCGAGCGAACAGACGAGGAGCUUGCUCCUCUGACGUUAGCGGCGGACGGGUGAGUAACACGUGGAUAACCUACCUAUAAGACUGGGAUAACUUCGGGAAACCGGAGCUAAUACCGGAUAAUAUAUUGAACCGCAUGGUUCAAUAGUGAAAGACGGUUUUGCUGUCACUUAUAGAUGGAUCCGCGCCGCAUUAGCUAGUUGGUAAGGGAACGGCUUACCAAGGCAACGAUGCGUAGCCGACCUGAGAGGGUGAUCGGCCACACUGGAACUGAGACACGGUCCAGACUCCUACGGGAGGCAGCAGUAGGGAAUCUUCCGCAAUGGGCGAAAGCCUGACGGAGCAACGCCGCGUGAGUGAUGAAUGUCUUCGGAUCGUAAAACUCUGUUAUUAGGGAAGAACAAAUGUGUAAGUAACUAUGCACGUCUUGACGGUACCUAAUCAGAAAGCCACGGCUAACUACGUG
rnacentral:rRNA from 1 species